GUUGGGGCAGGGGGUGCCCAUUGGUUGGCGGGUCUCGCCCGCGGAGGCCGGAAGGUGGGGUGGUGACCACGGUUUGUGAUUGGCGUGGUCGCUUGACGGCGACGGGUCGCGAACGACGGACCGGCUACGGUGCAGCUGCAGCGGGAGGGGGGGCGGAGUGCGGAGGCUGGAAGGAAGAGCGGGUUGGUGUGAUGGUCGGGUGGGGAACUGCUAGGUGGCGGAAUGCCGCAGCUGUUUUUGCUGUCUCUUCGUUCUGCCGGAACUCGUGUCUGAGCAGCUGAGCAUGAUUGAUGAUGAUUACUACAUUUUAACUUUUCUACUCCCAGGAGUAAUUGGAUUCUAUUUUGUGGGGUGUUUAUUUUUUAUUUUUUACUCUUGCUCUCUGAUGUGAGACAUACACAG
rnacentral:lncRNA from 1 species